rnacentral:rRNA from 1 species
CCCUUAGAUGUUCGGGGCCGCACGCGCGCUACACUGAAUGAAUCAGCGAGUGUAUGUCCUAGGCCGAAAGGUCCGGGUAACCCGUUGAACCUCAUUCGUGAUUGGGAUAGGGACUUGCAAUUGUUUCCCUUGAACGAGGAAUUCCCAGUAAGCGCGGGUCAUCAUCCCGCGCUGAAUACGUCCCUGCCCUUUGUACACACCGCCCGUCGCUCCUACCGAUUGAGUGGUCCGGUGAGGCUUUGGGAUCUGAGCGGAAAGAGCGUUUCGCUGUUUCUGCUCGGAAAACUCAGUCGAACCUUAUCAUUUAGAGGAAGGAGAAGUCGUAACA